CUGUCAUAUGCACAGUUAAAACAACUUGUCCUCCCAGGACCUUUUGCAGUUAGGGUUGGUCAUGUGACAUGGUCCUGCCAGGAAGAUACGGAUAGAAGUCUGUGGGCCACCAGUGGAUUGAAUGAUGCCCAUAUGCACUGAGAAGGGCCAUGUGUUUACUCGGUCUACCAAUUGAAAUGUUAAUCUCAUCCAAAAACACCCUCACAGAUAUGUUUGGAAUGAUGUUUAACCAAAUAUUUGGGUACCAUCUUCCCCAGUGAAGUUGACACAAAAUUAACCAUCACAGCUGCCUUCCUCUGGGCCUCAUGUUAUAUGAGAACAGUAUUGGUGCAGGUUCUUCAGCUUUGCUGGAGUAUGUAUCGACUUUGCUGGGAGCAUGACUUUGUGCAAGGCAUAAAGGUUAUACCUCUGCAGCUCUUCUACUUUGUCUCUGCCAUCUCUGACCACUCAAGUCAGGUGUACACUUAAAGCAUUCUGGGAAUAUGAAUCCCUUCUGCACCCGGGAUUCACCAGUCCAGCCAUGCAUGGAGCUGGGGAAAGCAGGCCCUGAACUGUCUAGAGAGACUUGGUGGAGGAGGCCACGGCCCGUCUUGUCCCUGCCGGGUCCUGGCCAGGAUUUGAACGUCUAUGACACUCUUCCGAGCUGACACAGUGAAGAACAUGGAAGGAGAACUCACCCAGUCUGCCAGGGUCACAGAUGAUCAUACUCAAGAUCUUCCUGGGGAGUCAACGGCAAAUUUCACUGGGCUACUUUACAGAUGAAGAAGGAAUAUAAAGAAGGUUCUGGGACCCU
rnacentral:lncRNA from 1 species